rnacentral:lncRNA from 1 species
AAUGCGUUUACGCAUGCGCAGAAAGUUUGUAGCUUUGAGGUCCGGAUUAUAGGUGUCCGAAUUAACGACUUUUGACUGUAUCUACAUUUAAACAAAUAUUUUACACAGAAAAAAGAGGAAUACUAAAUUUCAUGUAAUAAGUUAAAAACUGUAGUUUAAAAUACCAGUUUUCAAAACUUAUAAUUUAAUAAGAAUUUUGGUUUAAAUCUAAAAAGAACUUUUCUCAUACCUAAUAAAUAUCAUUGCACAGCAAUAGAGUUUUUUUUCCAAAUUAAAAAUUUAUAAUUCAAAUGACAAAUGCAAGUUUAGCUUUAAUGCAACUAAAAUUAAAACCAGCAAAAUGCAAUAAAAAUUGACAUAUAUUCUAAAUAUGUGAUAAUGUUUAACUGUAACCCAUCAAUAAAUAUUAAGUUUACAGAGCUAGAAAAUUUAUAUUAUUUACAACAUUUAAUUUUGAAAUAUCUGAAAAAAGGAAGUUAUUAAUUGAUUCUCUUUAACUACUUUUCAGAUGUGUUUAAAAUACAUAAAUAUCUAUCUGAAUUAACUGCCCUAGUAACAAGCACAGUCUUGAUUUUCAAUGAAAGAUCUAACAUAUUCAUAAACUUUAUGACUGUUUUGAAGCAUAGGUGGAUUUUAAAGUUACCUCUUUAUUUUUUAUGAUAAAAUGAUUUUUUUUUAUAAAACUGAAAGGAGAUAAUAGAAGAGAAUACUUUUAUGUUAAGAAUAAGAAAUGAAUUAACAAUCCUAUAUUUGCAAACUCGAUGAAAUUUCACUCUCUGUAAACACAUCAUUAUGGCUGUUAAUUCUCCUUUAUCAAUGUUACGGUGAUACUACAGUAUCUUCAGUCACAUAUGUGCUAUUAGCUCACAAACUGAUUCACUUUACUGAGUGAUAAAAUGCCUGAUUUGCGAAAAAAAAAAGAGAAAGCUCUUUUAGAGUUGACCAACGAAGAGCUCUUGUAGGAAGUGUGCCAGAAAAUUCAAUUUCCAUUUAAGUUGAGAAAAAAAGUGUUUCAUCCUAUUAUAUUAAAACUCAGUUUAAUUUUUAUCAUUUCCUAACUUAAAAAAAAAAUUGUUUAUUUUACAAUCUCAUUGUUAGUCAGUUAUAUGUAGAAAGGAGAUUUUAGGGAAUAGCAGAACUACAGUUGAAAGAAAUCAGUUCAGAGGGUUAACAUUUGACUGAGUCGAUUCUUCAUAUCCCAUGGCUAUACGCAUUUCACUUCAUUCUUCUCAUCUGUUCCUGAUCUCACUUCUCGCCAGAUUCUUUAUGUUCUUUGCUUCAUCUCAACUAAUCAUUCUAGACUCACUCGCUAUUCUAGAUUCUCGCUUUUUUGCUAAAAGUUAUUAUCAGUAAGUCAUAAAAAGGAACUGAUUCAAUUCAGUGAAUAAAUAGUUCUAAUUUAAUUCCAUAAAAGAGCAGUUCUGCUAGUCUCUGCCUCCAGUAAUAUUCUGAUUGUACUUUUGAUCUCAAGUAAACAUUAAAAUAUACUUGAACACAAAUUAGAAAAUAUCUCCAAACUGAUGAUAAUGUGAAGUUAUAGGUAGAUAUCAAUAAACAUAGAAAUUAAGAAACUUAAACACAUUAAAAUUUACAGGAUAAACUAUUAAUACUUGGCUGUCAUCUUUACUUAUCCUUUGAGUUUUCCAAAAAGACAAUCAUAAUGUAUAUGCACCUGCUGAGCUUCUAUUAUACAUUAAGAUGAUGUUAUUCCUGCAUGCAGAAAAAAUUAAAAUAAUCUUUGCUAUUUGAAAAUAAGGCUUAUAAUAAUUAUAGUAUAUUGAAAAAAAAUUUUGCUUUUAUAUUACUAUAAAAUAAAGAGUCAAAUUACGCAUUAACUUAAAAAAUAUACAAAAAUAAAAACUGCAGGUUUAUUAUCUUCAGAUUAAAACAGAAUAUUACAUAUUUAUUUAUUAUUCUUCAGUAAACAAAAAUAUCACUAAAAUAUAAUUACAAAAUUACUAAAAAUAAACACAUAUUUAUAUAAAAUUUGCAACUUGUAAAAAAACAAUCAAAAGUAUAAAAUUUGCAUUUGUCAUUCCUUUAGCAAACUUUUAAGGUUUACUGCCAUGGUUAUCUUAAGUUUACACUUAAAUAUCUAUGAAAAUCUGUACAAUAAUAGAGUAAUGAUGAUGAAAAGUAUAUAUGCAAAGCUAUAAAAUUUGUUUUUACAAUCAUAUUUUUUAUCAUCACUAAGAAUUUA